UUCCAGAACCCUCUGACUCCCAUUUUUGGACAGCACAAUCGGAAACUGCUUCGUAGGCAAAACUUCAAAGGACAGCCCUCAAAUACAGCAUGAGAGCAAAGUCAGUACACAGUAGCGAUACCUGGCCGGCAACAUCGGCAUACACUAUGUUUGCGAAUUUAGAGCAUAUUAUGAAUGAGAUGCUGGGAGCCAUAAUAUUUGCUGCAGCUUUUCAUGAAAUACUUGGAUACAGUGGGAUUACAAUGAUAUUUUUGAACAGAUAGUCACAUAUGGAAAGCAGAGCUCAAAAUCAUUAAAAAGGUCAAAGUUAAGGCAUCAUAAGAAGUGUAAAACUAUCACAAUAGGUCUUUAAUAAUGUAUUGGAGAUUGAAGAGGCGAGUAGGCGCAAUUAAUUGGCGAGACUGUGGUAUUCUACUAAGAAUAUUAAUCAGUAUUUAUAUUUUACGUAGUAUUAUUAUAUUUGAAAUCUGAUCAAAGAGGAUGUAAUUAAUAUUUGUUAUUAAUGCUUAUUUGGGAAUGAACAGGCAAGACAGUGUAAUUAAA